rnacentral:rRNA from 1 species
UACGGAGGGUCCAAGCGUUGUCCGGAUUUAUUGGGUGUAAAGGGUGUGUAGGCGGGUCUGCCAGUCAGAGGUGAAAGCCCACGGCUCAACCGUGGAACUGCCUCUGAUACUGCAGAUCUUGAGUCCUGGAGAGGUUGUCGGAAUUCGUGGUGUAGCGGUGAAAUGCGUAGAUAUCACGAGGAACACCGGUUACGAAGGUGGGCAACUGGACAGGUACUGACGCUGAGGCACGAAAGCGUGGGGAGCAAACAGG